rnacentral:rRNA from 1 species
CCUACGGGUGGCAGCAGUGAGGAAUAUUGGUCAAUGGGAGAGAUCCUGAACCAGCCAAGCCGCGUGAGGGAAGACGGCCCUAUGGGUUGUAAACCUCUUUUGUCGGAGAACAAAACCCGGGACGUGUCCCGGACUGCGUGUAUCCGAAGAAAAAGCAUCGGCUAACUCCGUGCCAGCAGCCGCGGUAAUACGGAGGAUGCGAGCGUUAUCCGGAUUUAUUGGGUGUAAAGGGCGUGCAGCCGGAGAGACAAGUCAGAUGUGAAAUCCGCAGGCUCAACCUGCGAACUGCAUUUGAAACUGUUUCCCUUGAGUAUCGGAGAGGUCAUCGGAAUUCCUGGUGUAGCGGUGAAAUGCGUAGAUAUUAGGAAGAACACCAGUGGCGAAGGCGGAUGACUGGACGACAACUGACGGUGAGGCGCGAAAGCGUGGGGAGCAAACAGGAUUAGAUACCCUAGUAGUC